rnacentral:rRNA from 1 species
UACGAAGGGGGCUAGCGUUGCUCGGAAUCACUGGGCGUAAAGCGCACGUAGGCGGCUUUCUAAGUCAGGGGUGAAAUCCUGGAGCUCAACUCCAGAACUGCCUUUGAUACUGGAGAGCUCGAGUCCGGAAGAGGUGAGUGGAACUCCGAGUGUAGAGGUGAAAUUCGUAGAUAUUAGGAAGAACACCGGUGGCGAAGGCGGCCCACUGGUCCGGUACUGACGCUGAGGUGCGAAAGCGUGGGGAGCAAACAGG